AACGAACGCUGGCGGCAUGCCUAACACAUGCAAGUCGAACGAGAUCUUCGGAUCUAGUGGCGCACGGGUGCGUAACACGUGGGAAUCUGCCCUUGGGUUCGGAAUAACUCUCCGAAAGGAGUGCUAAUACCGGAUGAUGUCGAGAGACCAAAGAUUUAUCGCCCAGGGAUGAGCCCGCGUAGGAUUAGCUAGUUGGUGGGGUAAAGGCCUACCAAGGCGACGAUCCUUAGCUGGUCUGAGAGGAUGAUCAGCCACACUGGGACUGAGACACGGCCCAGACUCCUACGGGAGGCAGCAGUGGGGAAUAUUGGACAAUGGGCGAAAGCCUGAUCCAGCAAUGCCGCGUGAGUGAUGAAGGCCUUAGGGUUGUAAAGCUCUUUUACCCGGGAUGAUAAUGACAGUACCGGGAGAAUAAGCCCCGGCUAACUCCGUGCCAGCCGCCGCCGUAACAC
rnacentral:rRNA from 1 species